GAUGAACGCUAGCUACAGGCUUAACACAUGCAAGUCCGAGGGGAAACGACAUCGAAAGCUUGCUUUUGAUGGGCGUCGACCGGCGCACGGGUGAGUAACGCGUAUCCAACCUGCCCACCACUUGGGGAUAACCUUGCGAAAGUAAGACUAAUACCCCGAUGAUAUCUCUAGACGACAUCUGAAAGGGAUUAAAGAUUUAUCGGUGAUGGAUGGGGAUGCGUCUGAUUAGCUUGUUGGCGGGUAACGCCACAAGGCAACGAUCAGUAGGGGGUUCUGAGAGGAAGGUCCCCCACAUUGGAACCUGAGACACGGUCCAAACUCCUACGGGAGGCCAGCAGUGAGGAAUAUUGGGCAAUGGGGGAAACCCUGACCCCAGCAACGCCGCGUUGAAGGAAGAAGGCCU
rnacentral:rRNA from 1 species